rnacentral:rRNA from 1 species
GACGAACGCUGGCGGCGUGCUUAACACAUGCAAGUCGAACGGUGAAGCCGGAGCUUGCUCUGGUGAAUUAGUGGCGAACGGGUGAGUAACACGUGAGUAACCUGCCCUUGACUCUGGGAUAACUGCGGGAAACUGUAGCUAAUACCGGAUACGACCCUCGGAGGCAUCUCCUGGGGGUGGAAAGAAUUUCGGUCAAGGAUGGACUCGCGGCCUAUCAGCUAGUUGGUGAGGUAAAGGCUCACCAAGGCGACGACGGGUAGCCGGCCUGAGAGGGGGACCGGCCACACUGGGACUGAGAAACGGCCCAGACUCCUACGGGAGGCAGCAGUGGGGAAUAUUGCACAAUGGGCGCAAGCCUGAUGCAGCAACGCCGCGUGAGGGAUGACGGCCUUCGGGUUGUAAACCUCUUUUAGCAGGGAAGAAGCGAAAGUGACGGUACCUGCAGAAAAAGCACCGGCUAACUACGUGCCAGCAGCCGCAGUAA